UUAAGUUAGAAAGGGCGCACGGUGGAUGCCUUGGCACUAGGAGCCGAUGAAGGACGGGACGAACACCGAUAUGCUUCGGGGAGCUGUAAGCAAGCUUUGAUCCGGAGAUUUCCGAAUGGGGAAACCCACCACUCGUAAUGGAGUGGUAUCCAUAUCUGAAUACAUAGGAUAUGAGAAGGCAGACCCGGGGAACUGAAACAUCUAAGUACCCGGAGGAAGAGAAAGCAAAUGCGAUUCCCUGAGUAGCGGCGAGCGAAACGGGACCAGCCCAAACCAAGAGGCUUGCCUCUUGGGGUUGUAGGACACUCUGUACGGAGUUACAAAGGAACGAGGUAGAUGAAGAGGUCUGGAAAGGCCCGCCAUAGGAGGUAACAGCCCUGUAGUCAAAACUUCGUUCUCUCCUGAGUGGAUCCUGAGUACGGCGGAACACGUGAAAUUCCGUCGGAAUCCGGGAGGACCAUCUCCCAAGGCUAAAUACUCCCUAGUGACCGAUAGUGAACCAGUACCGUGAGGGAAAGGUGAAAAGCACCCCGGAAGGGGAGUGAAAGAGAUCCUGAAACCGUGUGCCUACAAGUAGUCAGAGCCCGUUAACGGGUGAUGGCGUGCCUUUUGUAGAAUGAACCGGCGAGUUACGAUCCCGUGCAAGGUUAAGCAGAAGAUGCGGAGCCGCAGCGAAAGCGAGUCUGAAUAGGGCGAAUUGAGUACGUGGUCGUAGACCCGAAACCAGGUGAUCUACCCAUGUCCAGGGUGAAGUUCAGGUAACACUGAAUGGAGGCCCGAACCCACGCACGUUGAAAAGUGCGGGGAUGAGGUGUGGGUAGGGGUGAAAUGCCAAUCGAACCUGGAGAUAGCUGGUUCUCUCCGAAAUAGCUUUAGGGCUAGCCUCAAGGUAAGAGUCUCGGAGGUAGAGCACUGAUUGGACUAGGGGCCCCUACCGGGUUACCGAAUUCAGUCAAACUCCGAAUGCCGAUGACUUAUCCUUGGGAGUCAGACUGCGAGUGAUAAGAUCCGUAGUCGAAAGGGAAACAGCCCAGACCGCCAGCUAAGGUCCCAAAGUAUACGUUAAGUGGAAAAGGAUGUGGAGUUGCUUAGACAACCAGGAUGUUGGCUUAGAAGCAGCCACCAUUUAAAGAGUGCGUAAUAGCUCACUGGUCGAGUGACUCUGCGCCGAAAAUGUACCGGGGCUAAACGUAUCACCGAAGCUGCGGACUGUUCUUCGAACAGUGGUAGGAGAGCGUUCUAAGGGCUGUGAAGCAAGACCGGAAGGACUUGUGGAGCGCUUAGAAGUGAGAAUGCCGGUAUGAGUAGCGAAAGAGGGGUGAGAAUCCCCUCCACCGAAUGCCUAAGGUUUCCUGAGGAAGGCUCGUCCGCUCAGGGUUAGUCGGGACCUAAGCCGAGGCCGAAAGGCGUAGGCGAUGGAUAACAGGUUGAUAUUCCUGUACCACCUCCUCACCAUUUGAGCAAUGGGGGGACGCAGGAGGAUAGGGUAAGCGCGGUAUUGGAUAUCCGCGUCCAAGCAGUUAGGCUGGGAAAUAGGCAAAUCCGUUUCCCGUGAAGGCUGAGCUGUGAUGGCGAGCGAAUUAUAGUAGCGAAGUUCCUGAUUCCACACUGCCAAGAAAAGCCUCUAGCGAGGUGAGAGGUGCCCGUACCGCAAACCGACACAGGUAGGCGAGGAGAGAAUCCUAAGGUGAUCGAGAGAACUCUCGUUAAGGAACUCGGCAAAAUGACCCCGUAACUUCGGGAGAAGGGGUGCUCUGUUAGGGUGCAAGCCCGAGAGAGCCGCAGUGAAUAGGCCCAGGCGACUGUUUAGCAAAAACACAGGUCUCUGCGAAGCCGUAAGGCGAAGUAUAGGGGCUGACGCCUGCCCGGUGCUGGAAGGUUAAGAGGAGCGCUUAGCGUAAGCGAAGGUGCGAAUUGAAGCCCCAGUAAACGGCGGCCGUAACUAUAACGGUCCUAAGGUAGCGAAAUUCCUUGUCGGGUAAGUUCCGACCCGCACGAAAGGCGCAACGAUCUGGGCACUGUCUCAACGAGAGACUCGGUGAAAUUAUAGUACCUGUGAAGAUGCAGGUUACCCGCGACAGGACGGAAAGACCCCGUGGAGCUUUACUGCAGCCUGAUAUUGAAUGUUGGUACAGCUUGUACAGGAUAGGUAGGAGCCUUGGAAACCGGAGCGCCAGCUUCGGUGGAGGCAUCGGUGGGAUACUACCCUGGCUGUAUUGACCUUCUAACCCGCCGCCCUUAUCGGGCGGGGAGACAGUGUCAGGUGGGCAGUUUGACUGGGGCGGUCGCCUCCUAAAAGGUAACGGAGGCGCCCAAAGGUUCCCUCAGAAUGGUUGGAAAUCAUUCGCAGAGUGUAAAGGCACAAGGGAGCUUGACUGCGAGACCUACAAGUCGAGCAGGGACGAAAGUCGGGCUUAGUGAUCCGGUGGUUCCGCAUGGAAGGGCCAUCGCUCAACGGAUAAAAGCUACCCCGGGGAUAACAGGCUUAUCUCCCCCAAGAGUCCACAUCGACGGGGAGGUUUGGCACCUCGAUGUCGGCUCAUCGCAUCCUGGGGCUGUAGUCGGUCCCAAGGGUUGGGCUGUUCGCCCAUUAAAGCGGUACGCGAGCUGGGUUCAGAACGUCGUGAGACAGUUCGGUCCCUAUCCGUCGCGGGCGCAGGAAAUUUGAGAGGAGCUGUCCUUAGUACGAGAGGACCGGGAUGGACGCACCGCUGGUGUACCAGUUGUUCUGCCAAGGGCAUCGCUGGGUAGCUAUGUGCGGACGGGAUAAGUGCUGAAAGCAUCUAAGCAUGAAGCCCCCCUCAAGAUGAGAUUUCCCAUUCCGCAAGGAAGUAAGAUCCCUGAAAGAUGAUCAGGUUGAUAGGUCUGAGGUGGAAGUGUGGCGACACAUGGAGCUGACAGAUACUAAUCGAUCGAGGACUUAACCUA
rnacentral:rRNA from 3 species